rnacentral:rRNA from 1 species
AUUGAACGCUGGCGGCAGGCCUAACACAUGCAAGUCGAGCGGAUGAAGGGAGCUUGCUCCUGGAUUCAGCGGCGGACGGGUGAGUAAUGCCUAGGAAUCUGCCUGGUAGUGGGGGAUAACGUCCGGAAACGGGCGCUAAUACCGCAUACGUCCUGAGGGAGAAAGUGGGGGAUCUUCGGACCUCACGCUAUCAGAUGAGCCUAGGUCGGAUUAGCUAGUUGGUGGGGUAAAGGCCUACCAAGGCGACGAUCCGUAACUGGUCUGAGAGGAUGAUCAGUCACACUGGAACUGAGACACGGUCCAGACUCCUACGGGAGGCAGCAGUGGGGAAUAUUGGACAAUGGGCGAAAGCCUGAUCCAGCCAUGCCGCGUGUGAAGAAGGUCUUUGGAUUGUAAAGCACUUUAAGUUGGGAGGAAGGGCAGUAAGUUAAUACCUUGCUGUUUUGACGUUACCAACAGAAUAAGCACCGGCUAACUUCGUG